UACAGAGGGUGCGAGCGUUAAUCGGAAUCGCUGGGCGUAAAGGGUGCGUAGGUGGUCAAAUAAGUCAGAUGUGAAAUCCCUGGGCUCAACCUAGGCAUUGCAUUUGGUACUGUUUGGCUAGAGUGCAGUAGAGGAAUGUGGAAUUUCCGGUGUAGCGGUGAAAUGCGUAGAUAUCGGAAGGAACAUCAGUGGCGAAGGCGACAUUCUGGACUGUAACUGACACUGAGGCACGAAAGCGUGGGGAGCGAACAGG
rnacentral:rRNA from 1 species